rnacentral:lncRNA from 1 species
GGAAGCUGGGAUUCCAAUGGCAGGCAGGAAAUCUUGUAGUAGGUGAUCGUGGCCUUCCUUGGGAUCCCUGUUUCCCCCUUUUAUUCCCUUUUCACCCAGUAAAACCCUGCUUUGCUCACUCUUUAAAGCAUCUGUGAGCGUAAAUUUUUGUGGCCAUGGGAUGGACAAGAACCACAUGUUUACCUGAAGUCCUGUGACAUUUUGGUGUGCAGCAUGGGAGCUCCAAAAGUGACAUUCUUUCAGAUGCCAGAGGAUGCUAUAGAAAAAUGCGUGCCCUCUUGUAAUACUUUGUUCAAGUUCUGAUCAGAAGGAUGAAUGAUGGAGCCCAAGAAGCCAGACAGAGUCUCAUUGUGUUGCUCAGGCUGGAAUCCAGUGGCAUGAUCUCGGCUCAGUGCAACCUCCGCCUCCUGGGUUCAAGCAGUUCUCCUAGAUCAGCAUCAGCGUCCCGAGUAGCUGGGAUUACAGGCACCCGCCACCAUGCCUGGCUAAUGUUGGUCAGGCUGGCUCGAACUCCUGACCUCAAGAGAUCCACCUGCUUUGGCCUCCCAAAGUGCUCGGAUUACAGGCAUGAGCUGCCACACCCAGCCUCCAAAUACUUUUUUUUUAAAUCAAAAUAAUGAUUUCAAUGACUGAGAUCUGUUAUGUAUUUCAACAUAAUCAUGUUUCAUAAAGAUUUAGUCUUCUGAAAGCCAGUGUGAAUUGUUUUUUUUUCUACAAGUUUAAUCAAAACCAAACAAAAUCAACAAACC